GACGAACGCUGGCGGCGUGCUUAACACAUGCAAGUCGAACGGUAAGGCCCCAGCUUGCUGGGGUACACGAGUGGCGAACGGGUGAGUAACACGUGAGUGACCUGCCCCGCACUUCGGGAUAAGCCUGGGAAACUGGGUCUAAUACCGGAUAGGACCGCACCGUGAGGGUGUGGUGGAAAGUUUUUCGGUGUGGGAUGGGCCCGCGGCCUAUCAGCUUGUUGGUGGGGUAAUGGCCUACCAAGGCGGCGACGGGUAGCCGGCCUGAGAGGGUGGACGGCCACAUGGGGACGGGGACACGCCCCAGACCCCUAGGGGAGGAAGCAGGGGGGAAUAUUGCAAAAGGGGCGGAAGCCUGAUGCAGCGACGCCGGGGGGGGGAUGACGCCCUUCGGGUUGUAAACCCCUUUCACCAUCGACGAAGGUUUUCUGACGGUAGAUGGAGAAGAAGCCCCGGCAAACUACG
rnacentral:rRNA from 1 species